AGAGUUUGAUCAUGGCUCAAGAACGAACGCUGGCGGCAUGCCUAACACAUGCAAGUCGAACGAGACCUUCGGGUCUAGUGGCGCACGGGUGCGUAACGCGUGGGAACCUGCCUUUAGGUUCGGAAUAACUCAGAGAAAUUUGAGCUAAUACCGGAUAAUGUCUUCGGACCAAAGAUUUAUCGCCUUUAGAUGGGCCCGCGUAAGAUUAGCUAGUUGGUGGGUAAAGGCCUACCAAGGCGACGAUCUUUAGCUGGUCUGAGAGGAUGAUCAGCCACACUGGGACUGAGACACGGCCCAGACUCCUACGGGAGGCAGCAGUGGGGAAUAUUGGACAAUGGGCGAAAGCCUGAUCCAGCAAUGCCGCGUGAGUGAUGAAGGCCUUAGGGUUGUAAAGCUCUUUUACCCGGGAUGAUAAUGACAGUACCGGGAGAAUAAGCCCCGGCUAACUCCGUG
rnacentral:rRNA from 1 species